UUGUGCACCCUCUACUGCACUUCAGUGGGAGCUGAGAAUACUCAGCACUGCGCAGGAACAGACGCUCAUUGACCUGCUUGUCUUCACCUAAAGCCUUGAUCCUAACUGAUUUUAGCAGGAAGAUGGAGGACACUUGGCACGCCCAAUAAUUAGUGUUUCCAAAGAUCAUGGCAAAGGUCAGAGCAAGGGUCAUCUGAUUUCUUUCAAAUGCUUGCCUCCCAUGGAAAAUUAGGGGAUUUGCAUUUCUGUGACUGGUUGUAAUUGGAAGUGAAGACACUUGGUGUGCUACAAGCAAAUGAGGCUGAAGGACUCAAGCCCAGGAAGACAUCUGGACAGAAUGCCACACAGAUUUGAAUCCAACAGGAUCUGGAAAGGGCUGUUUUGGGGAUCAGAGCACAGAGCUGGGAGUUGGGAUCUGGCUUCUAUUUUCCACCCUGGCACCAACUCACUGCAUGACCUCAGG